CCUCACACUCAUCCACCUAGAUCCUGAAACUGGAGGGACCUGCACUACUUCGUAGUCUGUUUGUUCUGCUUAUCCGGGUGAAGAUGGAACUGGACAAAAGAAUACCUAGGGGUGGACCACUUGGUGCCACACUUCUUCUUCUGUGUCUCCAUCAUAUAGCAAUGGCUGUGACUCAUCCCGAUGAUUGGGAUCAAUUACGCCUGCAACAGUGCCCUUUUUUGUUUCUUCAUCCACUGGUCUACAGACUUGCAGAGCCCAGGAUGAACUAAUAGCAACCAUGGCUUUACAUUUAGUGAGAAUUAGGUGGAACACAGGCCUUCAAGAAGAGUCUUCCCACAAAGAAGAAGAACAUCUAGACACACAGAGCCUAAAUAUUCAUGCAGAACUUCACCAGCACAAACACCCUGCUGGAAUUGGUGGCAAAGACUAUUCUGCACAGUUUUUGUCUUGAGAAAAUUGAGGUUGCAUAGAAUAUGGCAAACUGGACAAGUGCUUCACUGAUUGUUGCAAAAAAGAUAUGUUAACUAUUCUGCAAGUAUAUACUUUAUAUAUAUGAUUUCAGUAUGAUCAGUUACUCAAAUUCUCAUUAUUUUUGUUUACUUGAUUUUUGAAAGAGCACUGUGUAAAAGGCCCUCCUAAUACAUAUUUCUGUCAAUUUCUCCUUUUAUGUAUGAUACAUUUUUAAAAUAUAUAUAUAAAUUGCUACAUACACUCAUG
rnacentral:lncRNA from 10 species